ACAACUGUGACGUUACUUCAGUCAUGUAGGAGUUUGAUUAUUCAUUCCAUGAUUUUUAAUAGGAACUGCUGCUAAGCUAAUUGUUAUGUAAUUUCCAUCCUAUAUGUUUAAUCCUUCCCUUAUUCGUUUAUAACUGCCCUUGGCCAGGUAUGGAAGUUUCUAGAGAUGGCCUAAAGAAGGAUCACAAAAACAGAAUUGUGUAAGAAUUACAAUAAAUGACUAAUUCAAUUUAUUAGAAAGCUGAGAUGACAUAAGUGCCUGUGCUGAGGUACUUACCAGGCUGAGGUAAUUACUAGGCUCAUACUAAUUGUUAUCUUUCGAUCCAGGGAAGAGUUUUUUUUACUCUGGCUUGGGUUGGCAGAACUUCUGCAAACUUUUGCUUCCUUCAGCAGUUACCAGUAUGGUCUGCCUGUUGACAUCAUUUGUUUUGGCUUUGCCAGCAUCAGUCACUGCUGAGAGCCAAACCCUGGUCUUUGCUUGGGACAUACAGCUCAUACAGUUCCAUUUUCUGAGAAUGGAAACAUUUCACUGAAGUCUUUAAGAUUUGUGCAUGGGCACCUGGAUAAAAUCUAAUGGCCGCCUACAUUCACAGGGUUGAAGCAACAGGAUGAGAGAUCUCAAGCAGGCUGCUAAAUGUUGUGGUCUGACAAAACUACAUGGCUUCCUUUAUCAAGGCAGCUGUGUUUUUAUAUAAAUAAUCUUAAUUGGCCUGCAGAAGAAUUACACCUGAUCCUCAAAUGCACUACCUUGAAAGGUCAUCUUGACUUCCCCAAGUUCACUUCAAGGCAUUCAGGAUGCGAGACCAGAAAGCCUAACAGAUGGAGCCUUAAUUUUGUGGACUUUGCUGAUACUCCACUACAGAAUUUAUGAGAAACUGGCAUCAAUGUCAAUAUCUGGACUUCUGAAAAACAUAAAUGUGAAGACUUUUUCUGGAUUACAUCUUUGUUUACACAUUAUGAAAGAUCAGAAGAAGUAGACUAAUUUUUGGCAGUCUUCAGGGUAACCAAAAUAUACUCUGCUUUCCUCACUUGCUUUUCUCAAACAUUUGAUGAUACAAUUCAACUCUAUAUUUGAGUAUUUGGUAUUUAUUUCAGUAGGUUGUUUCAUUGUUAGUGUCCUUAUCACAACCCUGGCCCAAAUUUAUGGUUUCUAAAUUUAUAUAAAGACUAUAGAGUGUUACCCAAAUAUUUGGAAGGUAAAGGUGGUAGUAGAUGUUGAUAAUUCUUCGGACAAAAUGUGUAGAUCCCUGCUAUAGUGUGAGAUGUCUUUUUAGGCAAUCACAAAAACUUGCAAAAAGAUGCUGACUGCCUUUGGCUUGCUUAUUUUGGCAGAUGUGGCUCUUCGGUUCCUACCGGACCCAGGAGAGCUGGUAGCUUUUCUCUAGAGUGAGGACUUUAAUCCUGAAUAAGGUCUCCAGAAGAAGAGCCUGGAUUAGGCAGGCAGCUUUCAAUGCUAUGUGUUUUAGUUCUAUCUGAUCUGAAUUUAGCGAAAUAAUAAAGUUAGACUUAGGUUUUGUAAUGAUGGUCUGAGUGCUUUUUUGGAGGAGGUAGUUUUCAUUUGUCAUGAGCUGAUACAACAAGUGGAGCUUUGCCUUUGUAAACCCUGCUCAAGGCAUGACAGAAACUCCACAAACCCAAAGUAUGUGACCCUGAAUCCAAUAGGUGCUCUGAGGUGGGAGGGCUCACUGCACUGGACUCUUGCCAUCACUGUCAGUCUGUGGGUGUCAUCAUUAAUUGCUAACCUUAAUAAAACCAAAAAUAUAUUCUCACUCUCCUUUUCUUAGAAACCCAAAUACAAGAGGGACUGACUUUUAUAAAGUACUUUGGCAAUAUGCAUUCCCUAGUUUAUCCCAUCGGAUUGGACUACAGCUGUGCGGAACAUGUUGUGCUUCCUCAAGGGCACUCUUUUAAACAAGCCAACAAUAUCAGAACCUCGUGGGCAAUACAAGACAGGCCUGCACAUGCUUCUGCACAUGUUUUCAGACUGCACAUCCAUUUAACCAGCAAUUGCUGCAGUAUCUCUCAUAAAAAAUGAUAAAUUUAAAGCUUCUGCUGCCUUUUUUUUUUUUUUUUUUUUUAAUGUAUAAGCUUUGUUUUAAUGAACUUCAUGUCAGGACCUUUGCUGAGUAUGUUAAGGGGUCAGCCUGUUCCAGUGUUGUCACCCUCACUGAAAAGAAGUUUCUUCUCAAAUUUAAGUGCAACCUCUUGUGUUCCAGACUCCACCCCAUUCCUGCCCAUUGUCCCAGGAGCCUCAUAAUCAGGUAACCGCUGGCCCUUCAGUCCUAAUGCUGCUGUGUUGUAGGACCAGCCUCUAGCUCAGCCAUGGACACUGUCAGUCUGAUCCCUGACCCUUAACCUCUCUUAUCACUAUUGACCUACUCAGUGAUCCCAGAACUGUGUCAUACACAGUCUAUACUCUACCAGACCUGGUAUUGACCAGUGGAACAGACCAUCCAGUUUAACUUUGAACCUGUCCCACCACCAUGAACUGACCUGAUGAGCAGCAGUCCCAGCUGAAGCCAGCCCAUGUGUCUCUCUCAGGCACUGUAGGUCUGGUGAGGCCCCGUAGCUUCUGGCCAUCAUACUGUGCUCAGCUGCUGCCUCCCCAUCCCUGAGGCAGCCCCGGCCCCUGCUGCACAUUGGUGUUUCACAGAAGAACACUUCCAGAAAACUUCAGGUUUUUUUGAUCAAGGUGAAAAGAGUGUCAAAAUUUCUAGUCAGAAUCCCAAAAGUUAAGAACUAGUAGGAUCAAGUUUGUGAGAAUGGGGUCCCCUUGUGAAAUGCAGAUUGUCUCCCAUGGGCACGCAUUAUGGGGAAGUCAGGGCUGAAUAGCAGCAGCUCUGAACCGGCGCGGGUACCCAAAGCAAUGUAGCUGUGAUGACAUGAGGUGCAAUAGCAGGUUAGUUUAUUUUACUGAAGGAUAUGAAAAUAGCUUAACUAACUUGCUGAAAACACUGUAGUGGGAAAUCUGAGACACAAAUAAGGGCAGAAUUCACUUUUCCACAGUAGUGUUCAUUUGUUACAUGUGCUUUUUGUUCUUAUGCCGACUCAUUUAUUUUGUGUUCUUUCCCUUACCAGUGAAUACAAAGGAGAUGCUUUGUACAACUUAUUAAGGGCACAAAUCCCUUUAAGUCCCACAGGACAACUCAUAUUCUAGUACUAUAUGGUAAUGGCAAUAAACUGUUGUAUUCAUACCCACAGAAAAAACAAAAGCCAUCUAGCCUGCAAGUGCAAUACUUUGUGAUCUGUAUUAGAAGAACAUUAACAUAAUGUGAGAGUCCAAAUGUGAGUACAGACCCACAGUGUUUGAAAUAGUCAUAUGUAGGCAUGUGUAUGUGUGUGCGUGCAUGUGUGUGUUAAUAUAUCAGCAGUGAGUGCAUGUGUGCACUGUUUCAGCCCUACAAAGUUGUUACAGCUGUGAAUUCAGAUGAAUAUAAUAUCUUCCUGAAACUUUUAGAUUUCCAUUUUAUAUGUGUCUAUUACAGGUAGCUAGCUACCAUAUUAAAAAAAAAAAAAAAGCCACUAAAAUGGCACUAAAAGGCAGCUGGAGUUCGGAGGACUGGAGAUAGUAGAGUGAGGAAGAGAGCGGGAGAGAGAGAGAGGCAAGUUAACAGGCUAAAGCAAACAUACAUGGAUAUGCAUCACUAUAUCACAUUCCUGAAGAGAGUUGUGAUUCAUGAAUGCUGGAGUUCAUUGCAUGGUCUGCAGGUAAUGAAUUCAGAUGACUUGGAGGCUUUUUGUAUGUGUUUUUCUCUACCCUUUGUCACUACUUUCCCUUACUAUCUCAUGAUUUUCAGCUGUUGUCCUUUUCCUGCUUUUUUCUCAUCUCUGUACAGGCUUUUUUCUCCUUCCUGAAGCUGGGACACUUGUAGGAAAGAAAUGUUUUACUGAGCAAUUUCUGGCUAGAAGAUUUGACUGAAUUACAGUUUGGAUAGUUUUGAUGGUGGAAGCAACAUACGACUACCUGGCUUCUGGAAGAUGCUUCUGCCAAAUUUUGUUUGUGCUCUGAACUUUGGAGACACUAGAAUUCAUCAGUGAAAUAUUUGCAAGGGAAUAAAAGUUAUAUUUCUUGAACCAUACUGGGGAAAAAAAGGCUAAACUUUUUGUCUUAUUUUUUCAAAUUAGAAAAAAAAAAUCAAGGCUGACACAGUAAGGAAAAGAAAACCAACUUGAAUGGCUUAGAUGACAAAAUGAAAAGAAAAUCAAAACUUAAAAUCAUGUGCCUAUCAACAAGGUCAUCCAUUCUGGCUAAAUUCAUAAGUAACUUGACCUGUUUGGUUGUCACAAUUAAUUGUUGCUUCGUUAGUGUCAGUCUACAUAUCAAAAAAAAAGAAAAUUCCUACUGUAUUUGACAUGAACACCGUACUUAUGCAAAAAAGGUAGCUCUCCAGGCAAUUACCACAAAUUUGCUUUUCAGGAGUAAUAACCUCUGUGUGAACUUACACAUAGGAUCAUGAUUUACCUUAUUUCUGUAACUGCUACUGUCUAGAAAGAGUAUCUUCCUCGCUUAGGCAGCAGUCCUGAAAUCUGAACAGCCUGAGGAAAAUCAAGAUUACUGGUUAAUCUGCUAAUCUUUCUCCCUGAAUGCACUCUUCAAUACUGAUGCAGGAAGCACGGCUAUUUCAGGACAAAGGCAGUAGAUAUUAAAGUAGUAUCUUUGAGAUUUUUGCAAGGAAGGUAUUCUGUAUGAUAAACAAACCUAAGAGGUGUUUAAGACUUCCAACACUUGAGCACUUUUGAUGGAAUGUCUGGCUGACCUCAGGAUGACAGUACCCCUUUGGUCUCCUGAAUUCUACACAUUUACAAGUACUUUUGUCUUACUGUCCCACUCAUCUACUUAUUUUAUUUGCUAAAUAUGACAUAAAAGAAAGCAGUGUUGGCACUAGAGCUGCAUUAAUGAAUUGCUUCUUAAAAAAAAAAAAAUAGAAACUUUUUAUUUAGAUUUCACAACUGUUUACAAAAUGCAAAAUGACUUGCUCAUCAAAAGGCUAUUUAUUUUCCUUUCAGAAAGAAAGAUGGAAAAAUGCAUUCAUAGUAGAGAAAGUGGCAAGCUACAGAUUAACAAUGCUGUAGGAUGCAUAACAUAUUGUGAGUUAUACAAGCAAUAAGUGGGAAAAUACUGAGCUUUUGUGUGACGUGUUCCAAGAACAAUAUAACUCAGAAAGAAAUAAAUUAAACAUACAAUUGAGUUGACAUAAUACACUGAAUAAAUUUACCAAAAUGUAUCAUUUUCAGUAGAAUAAAGAAAACAUAACAUAAUGAGUGCCAAGCAUACUGAACAGGGUAAAAUUCUUUGUGAAACUGAUAUAGAACUCACUGCACCAAUUAAAGCUAAUGAGUCAAUAAACAAAGUGAUUGAAUGAUGCUUGUAACAAGCAUAUGAAAGAUAUUGACUCAGGAGGACCACAGGAACAGAUGAACUGUGGGGUAACAGAUUUUGCUUUGCCAACUCUAUAGGUACCAGCACAUCAGCAGAGGUAUAGGUAUCAAACAGAAGCAGAAAUAUAAAUACCAACACAUGAGAGGAAUCUACUAGAUUCCUGUGACAUAGAAUGUAAAAACAUGGGAAAUUAUAACAGUAAAAUUAUAUCAUGACACAUCAUCAUUAUCACAUUUUGUUUUAACCACUAUAUGUUUUUCCUUAACUACUUUAUAGAUUGCUUUAUGUAUAAGUUGAAAUUUUCUGUAGUUUUUCUAAAUAUGAGGAGGCUGAGAUGAAGUUCUAAUUUAGAUUCUUCAUCAUCAUAGGAAUACACUAGAUUCCUUUGCCAUAGAAUGUAAAGAGACGGGCAAUUAUAACAGUAAAGUUAUAUAUUAUUUUGCUUUGUGCAUGAGUUGAAUUUUUGUAGCUUUUAUAGAUACAAAGAUGCUAAGAAAGGAAAUAAAGUUCUAAUUGAAAUUCUGAAGUUAAAAAAAUAUAUUUUUGAGUAGGGUUAAAGGGUGAUGAUCUGGUGCCAAUGAGGACAGAGGUUUAAUUUUGAAGUCUAAAUCAUUUUGUCAUGUCUAAAAUAAGCAUAUUUGAAUAUAUUUACAAGAGCAGGGUGUGGGGUGGUACUACAUAAUAAGUUUGGAUGGGGUUUACAGUUCUUUUGUGACUUUUGUUCUCUCUUCUUGAAAGCUUACUCUGUAAUCAGGAGGAAACUCUCUUAGCUUUAGUGAGUAGUGAUGUUGAGAAUAAUCUCACUUCAUGAGAAAUAUCUGAAUUAUACCCACCUAGUCCAAGCUAGGUUCCUUUCACAAUCAGUGGUUAGCAACGAGCUCUUCCAAAGGGCAAUUCUGCCUGUUUUAAAGAUGAAUAAAUGGAACCUGCAUCCUUAUAUCACAUGACACAACCAAGAGAGAAGUGUGCAGUUAACUUAUGCCGAAAUUUACUGAUUGCUUUUCUUCAAUAGUUUCUAUAAUCUUGGUAGUUUUCCUUUGCCCAAAAUGUCUAUAACUGCAGUUUCUUCACUCCUUUCUUCACAGCCUUCGCUCCUCUGCCACACUUUUGUUACUCUACCAUGGCAAUUAAAUAUGUGGCUUUCUAGAUGAGGAUUCUUACAAGCUAGGGUGGUGACAAUUUUUUAAGAGGAGUUUCUCUCCUACACAGUCUUGCCUGAGAAGAGUCUGAAGGGAGGUGUGGAUUCAAAGUUUACAGAACUUAAAAGUAAUUUAAUGGCCGUUUUUCUUUCCAUCUUGUUAUGUUGUUAGUCUUGCAGCAGUUCCUUUCUUCUUACCCUCACGUUUCCCUUUCUGUCCCCAGUUUGUUUAUAUUUUUAUUCCUUGUAGGCUUUUUGUCAUUCCAAUGUUUCUGGUCAAAAGCCAUGCCUCUGUUAGAGAAGGAAGUUUUUUCCCAUUCAUUUUAGAGCUACUGCUACAAUACUUACUUAAUAUAUCUAGAUAUUUCAAAUAAUGUUGAACAAACCUUAUCAAUGUACAGCCUUUGUUAGCAAAGCAGGUUUCUGAAUGGUAGAAUCUGUCUCUGGGAAACAGAUUGUAUAUCCACCUUCAGCACUGAGUCUUGUGAACCUGGGGAGAAAGUUUAAUUGUUCUGUGCCUCAGUUUCUGCACCUUUAAAACAGAAAAACCGAACUAUCGAUAGUUGUCUUAACAUUUGAGAUGCACAAAUAAAAAAUGCUGGAGACAAUUAUAGAGAUGUUAGAUUCUGAUACAAUGGCAUAAUUCCAGGAUGUUGGAGAGACUGAUUUUUUAAAAAAUCCUUUAAAAUUCAGAAUAAUUUUUCCAGAGGAAGUCUGUGUGUGACUAAUUCAAAAUAGUUUUAUUUUUUUCUCUCCCUGUUGACUAUUACCAUACUUUUAUUCUUUGACAACAGAGUUCAUUGUUUCAAAAUGAUGGACCCAAUUUCAAAGCAGUAUAUUUCAAGAUGGCAACAUGUUAUAAUUACACAAAAACUUAAAAAAGGUUUAAUGAGUUAUCAGGGUUUAGUAACCUUUACUAACCCUAAAUGCUCUAUGUUCCCAAGUGGUAAGAGUUUCAUUCAUGGGCAGUUUAUGAUUGCAGAGAUAUAGUGAUUUCAAAUUGGGUCCAUCUUUUUGAAACACUCUGGUGUGAAGAUGUAACUUCAUUGUCAGUACUAUAUAGUAAACUACAUAGUUUCCUGGCACAUAAUCAUUAUUGAAAAUAAUUAGAGGAAAGAUUCUGCUACGUUGCUUAUCUUGUACCUUGGUGUGCAUUUUAACAAGGUUCCAUUAUGAAAGUUUUCUGAAACUUAAAAACAAAAAAAUUCCUGAGGACAAAAUACUACAAUGUAGACUCCUGGAGGAGAAAUGGCUCAGAAUUAAUACAUUCCUUAAAUCAUUAUGAGAAAGGCCACUAUCAAAACAAGAACACUUUUGUAUCAGUGAUAUGUGACUGUUAUCUUGUUUACUGCAGAAGCAGCUUAGAGUGAGAAGGUUAGCUGAAUGAGUGAGAAGUGCUUUUGCUACAGUUAUACAAUUAAAUUCCUGGUCAUAGCAGACCUAGAUCUAGAAUUUCUGGCACAGUGUCUUGCAGGCUAGAAAGCUGCUAAAAGCUUAAGACCUCCUACUAUGAUCUGAUUUCAGAGACCUGUGUUACUUUAACACUUCAUUUUUUUUUUUCCUAUGGAAUGUGAUAAAAUAUAGAUGGUGUUUUGAAUUUUCUCCUUACACAAACUUUGUACCAGAGAAAAGUGACUCAAGUUUAGGUAUAUGCAGAUAAAACCAAUAUAUUAUAUGUGAAAAAAAUAGUUACAAAUUUAAGCACUUGUCUUUUGAUUUUUGACCACUGUAUUUGCAUAUAAUCUUUGCUCUAGAGUGUUUAAACCUUACAGUGUUCAACCUUGCUAGGAUUCAAGUUUGAAGUCAUUAAUAAAUAUAUGAAUGUUCAUAACAGUAAGAACUCUGUCUCAGUAGAAGAUUUUUUUCCUUUAUCUCAUGAUUAAACCCCUGACAGAGUAAUGAAACAAAAGAUGACUGACUUUAAAAAGAAAAUAAUUUCUCCCAUAGAGAGCCUGAAGCUAAAGUAUUUGUCAGGUUUAAAUCUCUGGGUUUGAAGCAGGUCUGGAGCAGAUUAGAAAGAGUGCCAAAGAGGAACAAAAUCAAAUACAAUUGCUUCUUGUUUGAAGAAUGGUAGAUUGUUAGCCGAAGUUUCUGUGUAUUUCCUGACAGUUUGUGUAUGAGGAAACAUUUUGUGAAUAAACAAAUUAUAUGAAGAAAUUACUUACGAUUGCUCAUAAGUGAUUUCUUCUCUGGACCAAAAUGGGUGUGUUUCUUUUUCAAAAUAGCCAUGCUAUUAUUGCAAGCUUUCUUCCUCCCUUGUUCAUUGCUGCUUGCUUUCCCUCCUCAUUUGAGUCACGUACUUUGAAGCGGUAAUCCAGCUGAGAGUAGGAGCCUGAUCUUCGUUGCCACUUCUUCUUGCAAAGCACUAAAAGCCGAGUUGUCUUUCCUCCUCUCUUUUAUCUCAACUGUUAAUUAACCUAUGGAGGAAGCAUAUGGAAAAAGAAUAGUGUCUAAGGCCUAUUGAUGAGGCAGAAAAUUAGAUUUCAAAUCUAUAAUACACUACAACUAAUAGAUUACAUUUUAACUAGAUAUAACUGAUGUUAGAUUUCUACUUUCUAAAGGAGCUGUGGUAAGUUUUGAAUAAAAAAUGUAGUAUGCGAAGUUAAAUAAAACCAACAAAGAGUCAUUAAUUUUAAACUUGACACUGGGGUAUGAGCCAACAUCAUAAAUGAAACAAUGAUUUAUCAAGGAAAGUAAAGCAACAGGUUGUAGAAGCUAAAUGGGCACACAGAUAUAGCUAUUUUCCAUUAAGAGAUUACUUGAACUAAAUAUACAAGUAAGUAGCAAACUGGAACAGAUUCAGUAGAGCAAGGGUAAAAUACAGGUUAAAACGUCUUAUUUACAUGGAGAUUCAACUGUCCCAACUUCAUACCUCUGGAAAGUUCUUGCUGUGUAGGCAAAAGUGCCGGAAAUGCUGAAAUUAAUGUGAACAAUAUUGAUUUAAGCUGCUUUGUAAAAAAUUUCCUCUAUCUACAAAAAGAGAAAUUUUUAUACAGAUAGAAAAGUAUUUUACAAUUUAUCCACAAGACUAAGGAAUGUGCCCUUAAAAGUAACAAACAAAAUGCACAUUUAUGUACAACUAAAAACCUUUCUUGGGUGAUAAUGUUUCAUCUUACUACUAUCCAAAGUCUUUCACAAGAAAAUGCAAUGAAUUUAAAAUGUUCUUACUAUUUCCUGGAAUUUUAUUAAAGCCUCUCAUGCAGUUCACCACAUUCUACCAAAAAAACCCAAACAAACAAACAACUACAAAAUUCAAAACUUACACAAAUAAACAAACAAACAGCAACAACAAUAACAACAAACCACCAAACAAACAAACCACCAAAACUUAACAAAAGCAUAUAUAAUGAUUUAUCUAAGAUGUAAGAAACCGUGGUAGAGGCAACAAAUACUUUCUAGAGAGCUCAAAUUGCAACAUUGCAGAAUCUUGAUUUGUCACAUAUGCAAAAUGAAUAAGCAUGAGAUGUCUUCUGUUGGUGGCACAGGAAGAAGUGGCCCUCUUGAAAUUAGACACAGAUUUGUUUACAUUUAGUAGAAACAUAAGCAAGAGAGAAGAAACUUCCUACAUGUUCAACAUUUUCUUCAUUCCCAUGAGGAAGUUCUAACAUGCACACUUGCUUGUACUGAAAAAAAUGUUAUAUUUUUAUUAUAUCCACAGGCAGCAUAGUAAACAUGGACAGACAUCUACGUAGUCUGCUGUAACAUUAAAUGGCCUAUAGUGAAGUAGAGGCUUCUACAUGUAACCACUUUCUUCUGUCCCUUCUUCUAAACAAUAGAAAAAAACCCUGUCAAAAUAACAUAAAUCUUUAAGAAAAUAGAUGAAAAAUUUGAUAGCAACCUGUAUUUAGCAUGAAUAUUUCAUAGCGUAACACCAAUGAAUCAUGGAUUGUAAGCAGACGUGAUUUUCAGUUCAGAAAAAGAAUACCUUCACUUACAGAAAAUACUGUCAGAGUCACCAGUGCAAGAUGUUGAUGUAAACUCCUCAUACAGUGUGGUUUGUGCUAUGUAUUUCAUGCUCAAUGGUGUUAACAAAAGUCUUUCUGCAAUAUCUAGUAAACAUAAAAGUAAGAAAGAAGAAAAAGAAGGAAAAUAAAUUUAAAAAAAGGAAGACAAAAAUAUAAAACAGGGACAUUAAAAUGGUCCUUUUCUCCAAACUUUAAUUCCUGGAAUCAGUCUUCUGACUAAGAUAUACCAACAUGCUGAUCAACAUUAUUUUCAGAUCUCGCAGUCCAAAGUGCAGUAACUCAUUAGAGAAUAAUGUCCUAGGAAAUCCAAUUGCAGUAAUUUUCAGUUACUAACUACUUUAUUACUUACAGCCAUUUGGCUUCCAUGAAUUUUGGGUUAUACACAUAUUUAGAUGGGAGUAGAAGGGCAGGAAAAAAGUGUGGGUAUUUCCACAUUUUCAUGUAGGAUCUAGAAAAAUGAGAGCACAAUACCCUCUCAUAUCCGACUUCAUGAAGAAUAGUCUUGUUCAGCCCAAGUAAUUAAAAAACAUAAAUAUCUGAAAAAUACGAAGUUACU